CAGAAACAGAAGAGUGUGUAAGUCCUAUUGAAUUUAUAGCCCUGCUGCUUUCCACAGAUGAGGCAGGGAUGGAUUCAAGUGAAGAACCUGGAGCACAGUGGGCAGUGGCUCCUGUAGCUGACCUACAGUGAGAGCAUACACUGCACUCAGGAUUUUCUGAAAAGUGGACAGGGGCAUUCAGAUCUAACUUCUAACCCUCACCACCUCUCUUCUCUAAAGAGAUGACAGGUCCAAUGAUGCAAGCAAGCAUCCGGCUCACGGUUUAUUUAGUGUCACAACUUCAUCAGUUUUGUAGAGACAAGGACUCGCUGUAGAGCUCUGGCUGGUCUGGCACUCACUAUGUAGACCAGGCUGGUCUUGAACUCACAGAGACCUACUUGAUGGUGACUGCAAGUGCUGGGAUUAAAGUCGUGUAACCAUCACACCUCGCUUCUGAAACUGGAAUGGUUUAAAAGACUCUUACUGAACCUUCACCUGACGAUGGAUGGAGAAAAUGACAGAGCCCCACAUUGGUGCACCAGACUG